UCCCUGGUGGACUAGUAGCUAGCAUGCAGCACUCUCAUCACUGUGGUCUGGGUUCAAUUCCUGGUCAAGGAA